CUAGUUCGGCUGCCGAACUUAGUAUUGAGUAUGCCUAUCAGAACUUAGUUUUGCUAUUGCCCAGUCAAACUCAAAGUUGAGGGAAGCCACCGAAGUGCUGUUUUGAACCAAAACUACUUAAUUUUGAGUUUAAAAAAAAGAGCGUGCAUUUCUCGUUCGUAAAAUUUUGUAAACAGGACAUGCGAACUGUCACCACAAAAGAGAACAUAUAUGUAUACGUCAUACGUAUACGUCAUCGUGAAUCGACCGAUGUAAACGGCGACGGCGAUACAACUUUUUACAAGAAUUUGAAUUGAACAUUAAAUUUUAAUUAUCAUCAGGACCAUGCAAUCGCCCAGUGAAUAUUUAAUAGAUAACUUCGAUAAAGUGUGUCGUUUCUGUUUAUCAGAUGAUGGAUGCGUGCCUAUAGUAUGCGAAAAUGGUAUCAAUCCGAUUUGUGUGCUUUCAACAACGUCGAUUGCAUGUUAUGUGGAACUGCUGUUAACACAUUAAGGACCGCGUUGAAAUCUAAGCCAGGAAACAUCAAAAUUUGACAUCUCAGAAACCACUGGAUUAAAUUCUACAAAUUUAGAAUUUUGGAGUUACCUAGUUAAGUUACUGAAAGUGAUGUGAAUAUAUUUUCAUUAUCAAAUUAACAACAUUUGAGUUAAGCUUCGAAGUGCAGCACACUAUCGUUGAGCAAAAAACCGAGACAUCUCGUAAUUGAUCCGCAUGUGUUAAUAGUUGUAGACGAAGGCGAUGGAUUACCCAAUAAUAUUUGUCACCAAUGCAUAGCUUGCAUUACAGCUUAUGAAGAUCUUAAUCGAAAGUGUACAGAAGUUUAUGAACUACUUGGUGAAAUUGCUAGCCUUCGAUAUUACAAUCAGCUUUCAAACCCUGGUGACAUAUCACCGGAUUCAAUAGAUUCUGAAGAAAUAAUUACAGAAGAAGUCGUUGCAAAUCAUUCAAAAAGCUAUCACAAUACGGGUAAAACAGAAGAAAACCCCGAAAGCAAUGAGUAUUUACAGUUCAAUCGUUCAGAACAAUCACUUAUGAGAAAGAUCCCUAAAAAAGCGCAAGAAUGUCCAAUAUGUCACAAAACAAUAUCGCAGCUGAAAAAGCAUAUGAUUACUCAUACUAGCAUCAAGGAAUUUUCAUGCACGUAUUGUACGAAACAGUUUGCACUGAGACGGACUCUUCAGCGACACAUUUUAGCAAUUCAUUUGAAGCAAAAACCGCACAAAUGCGGAAUCUGCACAGAAUCCUUUGCCGAUAGUACUUCGCUGCGGUAUCACGAUUUGGUCAAACAUAAGGGUGUCCGUAAUUUCUUAUGUGAACUCUGCAAUAAAUACUAUCACACAUCUUCCGAGUUACAGCAGCACAAAAGUUUAACGCAUGUUCAACGCCGUUUUGAAUGCAGCUAUUGCGGAAAAAUGUUUGCAAUGAAGUAGACACCACUUGAAGGAUCAUUUGAUAGUUCAUUCAAAAACUCGAGAUUUCGAGUGUAAUAUUUGCAAAAAAAGGUUUUCGCGCCAAGGAAUCUUAAAAAAACAUAUGUUUAUUCAUGAAAAUUGAAUUGAAUUUAUUUAAUAAAAAUAUUCAAGUUUUUCUGAAACACGAACUUGAAGUAUGUCUGGUUUCUUAA